rnacentral:rRNA from 1 species
AUGCUCCGCCGCCUCUCCGGCGCCGCCGCGGGCGGGCUCCGCCGCUCCCUCUCCUCGUCCCGAGCCCCCUCGCGCCCCCCGUGGGCCCUCAUCCAGCUCACCGACGUCGACAAGUCGGGGGCGCCGGCGCCGGGCGCGACCCUGCACCUCGACGCGCCCCCGUUUGUCACCGGCCUCACCGUCCCCGCCCACUUCAUCCACCCGCGGCCCCUCCCCGACCCCGCCACCGGCGUGUACGGCUCCGUCCCGGGCCACGUCGCCGCCGCCAGCAGCCACGGCCUCCUCCUCGUGCGCUUCUGGGAGUCCCGCUUCCAGUUCGACGUCCCCGCCACCGGCGAGUCGAUGCUCUGCGCGAUCCGCGACCUGUCCUUCUUCACCGGCAUGGACAUCAACCCGGAGGUCACGCGCUUCGUCCUCAACCCGCUCAGCGGCGAGCUCUACCGCCUCCCGGACCUCGACGGCACCAAGAGGACCUCCAUGUACCAGCACCUCGGCCUCCUCACCCAGUCCCAGGGCGGGCACGGACCCCCUGACAGGUAUGCGGUAGCCGAGAUGUUUACCAUCGGCGGCAGCGGCAGGGAGGAGGACGGCUUCGUCUUGCGGCGGUUUCUCUCGGAGACGGGCAAGUGGGAAAAAAUGGUGGGCUUGCCCUCCCCAUUGCCUGCCGGUCGGCGGAUGCACAUCGACAGCGCCGUGGUGCCCUUCGGCGACCGCUUGUGGUGGAUCGACGAGAGCUGGGGCGCCAUCUCAGCGGACCCGCUCAGCGAGAGGCCGGAGCUCCGGUUCGUGGAGCUGCCCAGAGGGAGCGUGCUGCCUGACCUCGAAGGUGUGGUGUUCAUGAGGAAACUCGAGCGCUACCGGCGGAUGGGGGAAAGCGAGGGGAAGCUGCGCUACGUCGAGGUGUCCAAGGAGAAGCCGUAUGUGGUCAGCUCCUUCUCCCUCGACGACGGUGGCAGCUCCUGGACGCUGGACCACGAGGUGGCCUUCACCACAGUUUGGGAUGAUGAACCCUUGAAGGAGAUGCCGGCGAUUGGCGCAAUUGACCCACUGAACAGCCAUGUUGUGUACCUUGUGUGCGGCAACCAGCUUCUUGGAGUCGACAUGGAGAAGGAGAAGAUAACAGGGAGCUCUCGUCUUGCUAUACCCAGUGUCCCCAUCCUACCCUGUGUCCUCCCGACGUGGCUGGAAUCAAGCUAG